rnacentral:rRNA from 1 species
GAGAGUUUGAUCCUGGCUCAGAUUGAACGCUGGCGGCAGGCUUAACACAUGCAAGUCGAGCGGGGAAAAGUAGCUUGCUACUUAACUUAGCGGCGGACGGGUGAGUAAUACUUAGGAAUCUACCUAAUAGUGGGGGACAACAUCUCGAAAGGGAUGCUAAUACCGCGUACGCCCUACGGGGGAAAGCAGGGGACUCUUCGGAGCCUUGCGCUAAUAGAUGAGCCUAAGUCGGAUUAGCUAGUUGGUGGGGUAAAGGCCUACCAAGGCGACGAUCUGUAGCGGGUCUGAGAGGAUGAUCCGCCACACUGGGACUGAGACACGGCCCAGACUCCUACGGGAGGCAGCAGUGGGGAAUAUUGGACAAUGGGGGGAACCCUGAUCCAGCCAUGCCGCGUGUGUGAAGAAGGCCUUUUGGUUGUAAAGCACUUUAAGCGAGGAGGAGGCUCCCAGUAUUAAUACUACUGGAGAGUGGACGUUACUCGCAGAAUAAGCACCGGCUA